rnacentral:rRNA from 1 species
CCUACGGGGUGCAGCAGUGGGGAAUAUUGGACAAUGGGCGAAAGCCUGAUCCAGCCAUGCCGCGUGUGUGAAGAAGGCCUUCGGGUUGUAAAGCACUUUCAGUGGGGAAGAAAGCCUUGGGGCUAAUACCCUCGAGGAAGGACAUCACCCACAGAAGAAGCACCGGCUAACUCCGUGCCAGCAGUCGCGGUAAUACGGAGGGUGCGAGCGUUAAUCGGAAUUACUGGGCGUAAAGCGCGCGUAGGCGGUCUGAUAAGCCGGUUGUGAAAGCCCCGGGCUCAACCUGGGAACGGCAUCCGGAACUGUCAGGCUAGAGUGCAGGAGAGGAAGGUAGAAUUCCCGGUGUAGCGGUGAAAUGCGUAGAGAUCGGGAGGAAUACCAGUGGCGAAGGCGGCCUUCUGGACUGACACUGACGCUGAGGUGCGAAAGCGUGGGUAGCAAACAGGAUUAGAUACCCCAGUAGUC